GACAUCAUUUCGAGACCCAUUUUAAGC
rnacentral:rasiRNA from 1 species